GAUGAACGCUGGCGGCGUGCCUAAUACAUGCAAGUCGAGCGAACAGACGAGGAUCUUACUCCUCUGACUUUAGCGGCGGACGGGUGAGUAACACGUGGACAACAUACCUAUAAGACUGGGAUAACUUCGGGAAACAGGAGCUAAUACCGGACAAUAUAUUGAACCGCAUGGUUCAAUAGUUAUAGACGCUUUUGCUGUCACUUAUAGACGGACCCGCGCCGCAUUAGCUAGUUGGUAAGGUAACGGCUCACCAAGGCAACGAUGCGUAGCCGACCUGAGAGGGGGAUCGGCCACACUGGACGUGAGACGCGGUCCAGACUCGAACGGGAGGGAGGGGUAGGGAAACUUCCGCAAGGGGCGAGAGGUUAAUCGGGCAAAGCCGCGUGAGGGAUGAGAGUCUUCGGAUCGGAGAACUCUGUUAUUAGGGAAGAAGAAAAGUGUUGGUAACUAUGAAGGUGUUGACGGUACCUAAGGAGAAAGCCACGGCUAACUACGUG
rnacentral:rRNA from 1 species